GUUUAGAACCUAAGAGUAUUGGCAAUGGCCUAGUCAUUGCCAAGUCUAAAAUUUAGCUAGAAUCUUAACUUUUAGCUGUAGUAUCAAAUUUUGACUAAAUGAGUCUACAUUGGACUAGCUAUCUUAAA